rnacentral:rRNA from 1 species
GUCGAGAAUCUUUCACAAUGGGGGCAACCCUGAUGGAGCGACGCCGCGUGGAGGAUAAGGUCUUCGGAUUGUAAACUCCUGUCAUGCGUGAACAAGGUUGCUUGGAUAAUACCUGAGCAAAUUGAUGGUAGCGCAAGAGGAAGAGACGGCUAACUCUGUGCCAGCAGCCGCGGUAAUACAGAGGUCUCAAGCGUUGUUCGGAAUCACUGGGCGUAAAGGGUGCGUAGGUGGCGUGGCAAGUCAGAUGUGAAAGCCCGGGGCUCAACCUCGGAACUGCAUCGGAUACUGCCAUGCUAGAGUACUGGAGGGGUGACUAGAAUUCUCGGUGUAGCAGUGAAAUGCGUAGAUAUCGAGAGGAAUACCAAAGGCGUAGGCAGGUCACUGGACAGUUACUGACACUGAGGCACGAAGGCCAGGGGAGCGAACGGGAUUAGAUACCCGUGUAGUCC